CCCUUAGAUGUUCUGGGCCGCACGCGCGCUACACUGAUGCAUUCAACGAGCCUAUCCUUGACCGACAGGUCCGGGUAAUCUUUGAAUCUGCAUCGUGACGGGGAUAGAUUAUUGCAAUUAUUAAUCUUCAACGAGGAAUGCCUAGUAGGCGCAAGUCAUCAGCUUGCGUCGAUUACGUCCCUGCCCUUUGUACACACCGCCCGUCGCUACUACCGAUUGGACGGUUUAGCGAGGCCCUCGGAUCGGUACCAGGACUCCGUCAGGAGUGACUGGCAACCGAGAAGGCGGUCGAACUUGACCGUCUAGAGGAAGUAAAAGUCGUAACA
rnacentral:rRNA from 1 species